rnacentral:rRNA from 1 species
GAGACAGCAGUCGCCGCGGGAAUACGUAGGUCCCGAGCGUUGUCCGGAUUUAUUGGGCGUAAAGCGAGCGCAGGCGGUCAGAUAAGUCUGAAGUUAAAGGCUGUGGCUUAACCAUAGUACGCUUUGGAAACUGUUUAACUUGAGUGCAAGAGGGGAGAGUGGAAUUCCAUGUGUAGCGGUGAAAUGCGUAGAUAUAUGGAGGAACACCGGUGGCGAAAGCGGCUCUCUGGCUUGUAACUGACGCUGAGGCUCGAAAGCGUGGGGAGCAAACAGGAUUAGAGACCCCUGUAGUCCCUGUCUCUUAUACC